GGGUUUAUAGCUCAGUUGGUUAGAGCACUACCUUGACAUGGUAGGGGUCGUUGGUUCGAAUCCAAUUAAACCCA
rfam:Aeromonas hydrophila subsp. hydrophila ATCC 7966, complete genome.